UGGGGAAUAUUGGACAAUGGGGGAAACCCUGAUCCAGCAAUGCCGCGUGUGUGAAGAAGGCCUUCGGGUUGUAAAGCACUUUAGGCUGGGAAGAAGGUGAAUUGUUUAAGAGACGAGUCAUUUGACGGUACCAGCAGAAUAAGCACCGGCUAACUCUGUGCCAGCAGCCGCGGUAAUACAGAGGGUGCGAGCGUUAAUCGGAAUUACUGGGCGUAAAGGGUGCGUAGGUGGUUAAUUAAGUUGGAUGUGAAAUCCCUGGGCUUAACCUAGGAACUGCAUACAAUACUGAAUAGCUAGAGUGUGGUAGAGGGUAGUGGAAUUUCCGGUGUAGCGGUGAAAUGCGUAGAUAUCGGAAGGAACACCAGUGGCGAAGGCGGCUACCUGGACUAACACUGACACUGAGGCACGAGAGCGUGGGGAGCAAACAG
rnacentral:rRNA from 1 species